AGGACGAACGCUGGCGGCGUGCUUAACACAUGCAAGUCGAACGGAAAGGCCCUUUCGGGGGUACUCGAGUGGCGAACGGGUGAGUAACACGUGGGUGAUCUGCCCUGCACUUCGGGAUAAGCUUGGGAAACUGGGUCUAAUACCGGAUAGGACUACGGACUUCAUGGUUUGUGGUGGAAAGCUUUGCGGUGUGGGAUGGGCCGCGGCCUAUCAGCUUGUUGGUGGGGUGAUGGCCUACCAAGGCGACGACGGGUA
rnacentral:rRNA from 1 species